GACGAACGCUGGCGGCGUGCUUAACACAUGCAAGUCGAACGGUGAACUCCGCUUGCGGGGGAUCAGUGGCGAACGGGUGAGUAACACGUGGGCAACCUGCCCUCAGCUCUGGGAUAACUCCAAGAAAUUGGGGCUAAUACCGGAUAUGACCGCUGACCGCAUGGUCUGGUGGUGGAAAGAUUUAUCGGCUGGGGAUGGGCCCGCGGCCUAUCAGCUUGUUGGUGGGGUAGUGGCCUACCAAGGCGACGACGGGUAGCCGGCCUGAGAGGGUGACCGGCCACACUGGGACUGAGACACGGCCCAGACUCCUACGGGAGGCAGCAGUGGGGAAUAUUGCGCAAUGGGCGAAAGCCUGACGCAGCGACGCCGCGUGGGGGAUGACGGCCUUCGGGUUGUAAACCUCUUUCAGCAGGGACGAAGCGAAAGUGACGGUACCUGCAGAAGAAGCACCGGCCAACUACGUG
rnacentral:rRNA from 1 species